rnacentral:rRNA from 1 species
CAUUCGGAAACGGCGCUAAUACCGCAUAAUAUCUUCUUCCGCAUGGAAGAAGAUUGAAAGACGGCUCUGCUGUCACUUAUAGAUGACCUUGCGGUGCAUUAGUUAGUUGGUGGGGGUUAAACGGCCUACCAAGACGAUGAUGCAUAGCCGACCUGAGAGGUGAUCGGCCACAUUUGGGACUGAGACACGGCCCAAACUCCUACGGGAGGCAGCAGUAGGGAAUCUUCCGCAAUGGGCGAAAGCCUGACGGAGCAAUGCCGCGUGAGUGAAGAAGGCCUUCGGGUCGUAAAACUCUGUUAUAAGAGAAGAACAAAUUGUAGAGUAACUGCUACAGUCUUGACGGUAUCUUAUCAGAAAGCCACGGCUAACUACGUG